AAAACGACCUCAGAUGGCCUACUCCAAAGCCGUCUCUAGGUUAUCCUCCAGAUUACAGCCCUCCUUUACCCUCAACAACCUCACAAAAACGACGUCGUCACUCAAAUCGAGCCUUCACUUUCCGGCACCCGCUCCCGUCCGACGCACCGUUCGCAUUUCCAGGUUACCAUUGGAAUUGAGCUGCGUGGAGUCGAUGAUGCCGCUGCACAGUGCAAUCGCUUCGGCUCGGUUAAUAUCUAGCUUGCCGAUUCAGUCUCAGUGCUGGGGAUUAGUUCCUCAAGGAAUUUCAAUGCCUUUAUGACAGCACUAUCUCUAUCAAGUUGUCCCGCAGAGAUUUUGUUUUGACGGCAAUGUAGGGCUCAUGUUGACAGUUUUAUUUAUGGAUUUUAGUAGCAUGAUCUGUUAAACAGUUUAUUGGGCAUCAGUGCUUGUCGAUUUUCAUCCGUUUGUUAGAAUGCCUUUGUAAAGGAGGCUAAAUCUGUUCCUGCUGAACCAAGCUUGGGGACUCUUAACUAGUUAUUUAAGGGAGGUGCCCAAUAAUGUGUCUAGUUUGCUCAAUAUCAACUGGCCCCGAGUUACCUGUCAAAUUUCAAAGUUGUGUGCCGACACUGGCAUUGUAAGGUGAUUCAAGUACUCAUUUGAAGACUGCUGGACAGUUGCUUAUUUCAGAAUUCUUAUUGCAAU